AGAAACUUGAAAACUACUGCUGGAUGAAAAAUGGAUGUCUAAAAUUCGUCCAUGUCACCAUGAUGAGUAAAUCUACGAGUAAAAUUUUUACUCAUGAGGACGUGGACGAAUCUCAGACAUCCAUUUUUCGAUCCAAAGGUAGUUUCCAGGUUUCC
rnacentral:pre_miRNA from 1 species